CUCAGAUCGGACGAGAUUACCCGCUGAAUUUAAGCAUAUUACUAAGCGGAGGAAAAGACACUAACAAGGAUUCCCUCAGUAACGGCGAGUGAAGCGGGAAAAGCCCAGCACCGAAUCCCCCGGCCUGUCGUCGGCGGGAACUGUGGUGUACGGGACGCCAACUGCCGUCCGCGCCGGCGUCCGAAGUCCUCCUGAUCGGGGCCUCUCCCAGAGUGGGUGUCAGGCCUUUACUGGUCAUCGGCCGGUCGGCUGCGAGCGUCUCA
rnacentral:rRNA from 1 species